CUUAGCUAUGUUAUGGUGUCUAAGAUUCUUUAUACUCCUUGAAAGACUUAUAAUAUUUUUCUGGACUAUGCUGGACUAUUGAACUAUUUUGUUAUUUUUAUUUUUGUAGAGUUAGCCGGAGAGAGAGGAAGUGUUAGCUUACUCAGGCAUGGAUGUACUAUGUGUGUCAUUGAUGUAUGUUGAGUGUACCAAGGAUGGAUUCCAAUGUAUUAAGUGUGGAUAUGACUGGACCAUCGAAAUAGGGAUUUGAUUAGGAGGCAUAGGACGCAAGGUCAUGAUUGGGAUUAUUGCUAGAAUUGCAAACUGAUUAGAAAUGAUCUUAUGAUUUAAUAUGUAAGUGGGCCUUUUCAAACUAAUCAAGAAGUGUUUCCCAAUCCCAGCUAUUUACUUACAUAGUGCAGGUUUUAUAAGUCACUAAUGCUGUCAACGUGAGGGGAUGACAUGUUUACACAGUCAUGGCCCUCAAUUAGAAUUUAC